rnacentral:rRNA from 1 species
CCCUUAGAUGUUCUGGGCUGCACGCGCGCUACACUGAUACCUUCAGCGAGUCCAGCACCUUGCCUGGGAAGGUGGGGUAACCUCUGGAAAGUGUAUCGUGAUGGGGAUAGAUUAUUGUAAUUAUUAAUCUUCAACGAGGAAUUCCUAGUAAGCAUGUGUCAUCAGCCCGUGCUGAUUACGUCCCUGCCCUUUGUACACACCGCCCGUCGCUCCUACCGAUUGAGUGGUCCGGUGAGGCUUUGGGAUCUGAGCAAAAAGAGCGUUUCGCUCGUUUGGCUCGGAAAACUCAGUCGAACCUUAUCAUUUAGAGGAAGGAGAAGUCGUAACA